rnacentral:rRNA from 2 species
CAUAUGCUUGUCUGAAAGACUAAGCCAUGCAUGUGCAAGCGAAGCUUGAAAAAGUGGAACCGCGAAUGGCUCAUUAAAUCAGUUACUAUCUAUUAGUUGAUUUGCCUGCUAAAUGAAUAACUGCGGUAACCCUGCAGCUAAUGCAUGCUGAUUGUCCGGCACUGUCGGAGACUUUUACAAGACUACACCGGGUGAUUUGCUAAGUACUGACACAUACCGUGAUGAGUCCUAGUAACUGAAAGAUCCCAGAUAGCUUCGGCUUGGGGACGGAACUUCCGAAUUUCUGACCUAUCAACCUAUGAUGGUAGUGUAACGGACUACCAUGGUUGUGACGGGUAACGGGGAAUCAGGGUUCGAUUCCGGAGAGGGAGCCUUAGAAACGGCUACCACAUCCAAGGAAGGCAGCAGGCACGCAAAUUACCCACUCUCCGCACGAGGAGGUAGUGACUAGAAAUAAUGAUAUGAACCUUUAUGGUUUGUAAUCAGAAUGGAAUGGACUUAAAAGCUCCAUUGAUGAACGAGUAGAGGGCAAGUCUGGUGCCAGCAGCCGCGGUAAUACCAGCCUCUACAAGCGUAUGCAAUAGUUGCUGCGUUUAAAAAGCUCAUAGUUGGAUCUGUUUGAGUAGAACGGUAACAUGGUCUUCAGUUAAAUCUGUUGACUCGUU